rnacentral:rRNA from 1 species
UACGGAGGGAGCUAGCGUUGUUCGGAUAUACUGGGCGUAAAGCGCACGUAGGCGGCGCAGCAAGUCAGGGGUGAAAUCCCGGAGCUCAACUCCGGAACUGCCUUUGAAACUGCAGUGCUAGAAUCCUGGAGAGGCGAGUGGAAUUCCGAGUGUAGAGGUGAAAUUCGUAGAUAUUCGGAAGAACACCAGUGGCGAAGGCGACUCGCUGGACAGGUAUUGACGCUGAGGUGCGAAAGCGUGGGGAGCAAACGGG